GGGAGUUUAGCUCAGCUGGGAGAGCAUCUGCCUUACAAGCAGAGGGUCAGCGGAUCGAUCCCGUUAACUCCUA
rnacentral:tRNA from 1 species